CAUUUGUACAGUAUGUAUUUUGAUUUCUUAUACUUCUUAAAGAAUGAUAGCUAUCAUUGUGACUCACCAAAUGGGCGAAUCGCUAUUAGAGUGGUUUACUUUAGAGUGGUUCUUCCUGUAAUGUCUCUCUCUCUCUUCCUAUUUAAGCCAGUCCAUUUGGCCCAGAGUUGUUUCCAGGUGGAAACUUUCGGACACACCUUCACCCUGGACCUGGAGUUAAACCACAACCUCCUGUCCUCAGACUAUGUGGAGCGGCACUUUCACCAAGACGGCAAACCCUCACAGUCUAUGGUAGUGUGUGUGUGUGUGUGUGUGUGUGUGUGUGUGUGUGUGUGUUUGUAUGUUAUAAUUAGGGCCCUGUAUUUUGCGCAAUCAUUUGAUAUGCCUGGAUUUUAACCGUUAUU
rnacentral:lncRNA from 1 species